rnacentral:rRNA from 1 species
GCUAAUCUCUUAAAGUACGUCUCAGUUCGGAUUGUAGGCUGCAACUCGCCUACAUGAAGUCGGAAUCGCUAGUAAUCGCGGAUCAGCACGCCGCGGUGAAUACGUUCCCGGGUCUUGUACACACCGCCCGUCACACCAUGAGAGUUUGUAACACCCAAAGCCGGUGGGGUAACCUUCGGGAGCCAGCCGUCUAAGGUGGGACAGAUGAUUAGGGUGAAGUCGUAACAAGGUAGCCGUAGGAGAACCUGCGGCUGGAUCACCUCCUUUCUAAGGAA